UGUGGGAUGAGAAUAUGUUAAGUUGCCUGUUGAAAUGUUUCUGCCAAUACAUAUUUGCAUAAAUAUACCUGUUUUAUAUUCUUGCAUUCUUGUGAGUUCAGUUGCUGUUUGUGCCCUCAAGAACCCACAUGUUAAAAAUACUGCGUGUGUCAUGGCGUGUGUGUGGUGGUGGUGGGCCUCCAAAGUUGGGGGGUGGGCUCCAAAGGCCUUUAGGUCCAGCCUCCAAAAUUACCUAGGUGCAUCUCUGGACACAGAGGAAAGCCAGCACCCCACCCCCCCCGCCCCCAGUGUGGCUUUUCCUUUUGAGAGGCUAUGAAGCUUGGGGCAUCGCAAUGUGGCAUCCCUGUUGCCAGGCAAUGUCUGGAGGAGUGUGGUGACCGUGGGGAGCAGGGCAAGUGCUCCCAGCGAGAAGUGUGGUCGGCAGAGAGCUGGGGCAUCUCUGGCAUGGGCCGAGCUGCCCUCUCUGUGGUUUGGGCAGCAGCCACAGCACCGUUCCCUUUAGUGAUCGGGCUGGCGUCUUUUGCACACAUUUCCUGGGAAUAAGCCCCAUUGAACGUAGGAGUGACUUCUCGGACACAGCGUGAAGAAACACGCAUGCAGAGUGUUGGCGAGAGAGAGAAUGAGAGGGAGGGAGCAGAGGUGGGCUGGGAGAGCAUCUGCGGAAUGUUCAGAGGGUGAUUUCAAUAAUGACAGUUGGAGGCAGUUAGGAGUCAUAGAGGUACAGAGCAGGGUUGGAGAACAGCAACUCUGGCUCUAGAAAGGAGGCCCAAACAGUCUGUGUCGAGUCUGACUUCUUUUGACAACAUUGUCGUGAAGUUUAUGUGCCCUGCGUUGCGGAGACCCUUCUUGCCAUCUUUUGUAAAUAAUACACUCAUUGUUUUUACACUUGCAAGCUUUGUUUCUUUUUUUUGAGGCACUGAACAUAUAUGCCUAUCCUGUGCUCACAAGGCUGUGACCAAGAGGUUAUUUAUUGAGAGCAGGGUAAUAGGCAACCAUAUGGUGGCAGCAAAAGAAAGUAAUAACUUAUUAAAUUCCAUGAAUGUGGUGACACAAUUGAUAUAAAAACCAUUAAAUAAAUCACCUCCCUGGACUUGGGGGGUGGGUAUCAGGGUGGGUUCCUGACACACAUAUUGGGGCAAAAUAGGGUUUUAUAGGCUGAAACAACCACUGAAUUUUGUCCAGAAAGUAGGAAGGCAAAAGCCAGAACAGAAGCUGGAGUCUGGUUUCCAAAAACUCCAAGGUAGCUCCAUGCAAAUUUCAGUAGCCUAGCUUCAACCUUAAUGUGGAAUGAAUCAGUUUUAUUGAAGGAAGAGUUUGGCACAACUUCAUUUUUUGACCAACGAGUAUACCCCUUAGGUUCUGGCAACAAUGCGCCUGGAGCAUCAAUGGAGGAUUUUCUGUUCAGCAGCAGUAGGCGAAAAUAUCUCUUUUUAAAAAUAAAGGCUAAAGAGGAUGAUGAUUAGACAAGGUGUUUAAUGCACUGGCUCUUUAGGUUUGUUUGGGAAGGAAGUCUGAAACCCCUCAUGUGCACGAUAAGAGAUGGCGCUAAGCUGGAUGUUGAACAAAGAGUUGCUGCAGCUCCAUGUAUGUUUGCUGCCACAGAGGCCAUUUGUUAAAUGGACGCUGCUGACAGAACAGCAUAAAUGUGCUUGAUGGAGAAAAAUGUGGCAGAAGAGCCAGUGGACUGCAAUGAAGACAGACAGGUGUUAUUGACUGGUUUGUUUUUACCAGACAUCGAGUCCUUCCCAAGGACCUGAGAUGGCUGAAUUUUAUCAUCAUCAUCAUCAUCAUCAUCAUCAUCAUCAUCAUCAUCAUCAAAUACCCACAAUACUUUGCUGUUGGCGAGAACUGCAGUUGAAUGCCAUGGAGAAUAUCAGUGCUAUUCAAUCGGAUUGUCAGGGAUCUACCCCUUCACCUGGCCAGCUGCCCCCCAGGGCUGUCCUGUGGACUUGCUGCUCCCAGCAGUAUUACAGCACUCAUGGGGGCCCCUGCUGCUGCCCAGCAACAAACACUCUUCUAGAUCUGGCAGGGAUGGAUCAGUACUGGCUCAUCAUAGAGGAACCCACAACCUAUUCUCACCCUCCAGGGCCCACACAAGCUAGAGACAGCCCUGCUGAGGAGGACACAACUGAAGAGGCCCUGCUACAUUCAUGCCUGCUACUGCAGUCUCCAGAACCAUCUGGCUGGCUACUGUCGGGGGCACUGCAGGAUCACAUGGACUCUGGAGCUGAAAGAUUACCUUCCUCCCUGCCUCUGCUGGCUGCAGAUGAUGACCUGGAGCAGAGGUGAAGCAGAACACACCGCAGCGACAUUGGGACCCAAGGGAGGGUGUGCUACGCACUGCAGAGGACACGUGUCUGCCCCCACGUGUCUUAGAACCAGCAAUUCCACCGCAAGGGACAGAGUCCUUUCCAACAAGACUCUCCUGGGCUGGUUUUUAAGAAAGGUGCAACUUUGCAUCUCGGUGAGGGGCCAAUGGAAACAAGCCCCUUCCCAAAUCCCAAUAGAGUCUCACAGGCAGCACAGCCUCCAGCAGCCUUGGGGAGACUGGGGUGGUUGUAGUGGGGGGAGGGGGUCAUGAGGGCCAGGUGAAAAAAAAGAAGGCUGCGUAGGUAACAGUCACUAUACCUCUUUCCCCAUUUGUCCAUCCGAGCCUGGCUCACCCUGGGAAGAAAGGAAGGAAAAAAGAAAGAAAGAAAGAUGUUUAACGUCUAGCCCCGUUAUGUCUGCAGUGAUCCAGAGCGGCCCCCUGAACUGUCGUUGUGACUGCAUCUCCCCCGUCAGAGCUACCGUGGCUUUUAAAAAAACCCAUCAGAACGUUUGCAGAGCGGCUGAAGGGGUGGAGCCCCCGACCUCUCGAUCUGCUGCACUCACCGGUGGGCCUGGAUGGCCUGGUGGGCCUGGCUGGCCUGGAAUCCCACCCAUGCCUCUUUCUCCAGGAGUUCCCCUCUCACCCUUCAGUCCCUGGGGAAGAGAAGACGGAGAAGUCAGGUGGCUAGCAGAGGCGGCUGAGCUGGGAGGACUCCGUUGCUGGAGCUCUCCCUCCUCCCUGCCUCUAGAAGUCAAUUAUGCCGAUGCCUCCUGCUUACAUAUGCCGGCACUCCAAUGGGUGGUGCUGAACCCCUGACCACCUCCUCCACCCUGGGCUCUGCUAGCCCAAGAUUGCUUCUUGUAGAUUGGGGGGGGGUCCCCUGUUGUUGUCGAACUACUGUAUUUACCUGAAUAGAAGACAACCCUGAAUUUAAGACAGCCACUUUAAAAACAGAGGUUAAAUACAGGUUAUACCUGUAUUUACCCUAAAGGCAUAGCACUCUGAAUUUAAGAUCCCUUCCCCUCCAAUUUCUAACAUCAGGUUAAUACAGUACAGUACAACUUUUGCCAUCCCCAAUUCCAUUCCAACAACAUCUAGGGACCCGCAGUUGGGAACCCAUAUUGUAGAUCACUCCAGAAUCUGACACAUGGUGUGAAAUGGGUAACUGUCGUAACUACUCCAGGGCCAGUUUGAACAACCUUGGUUUUGUGGGUCAGAGCAAAACAAGUUGACAGUCCAUAGAUAUUUACUGAACUGCUCUUGCAAAUACUACUUUUGUUAAUUUGACUGUAACUUUGUUGUUGUUAGCUGCCAGGUUUCCACUGAGAAAGGAGGGAUAUAAACUGAACAAAACAAAACAAACAAAACAAAACAAAACAAAAAUAAUACAUUAGUGUCAAACUAUCAACUCUGUGCAUCCUGUUUUUUAAAAAAAAACUUUCAGAGAUUUCUAGUAUGUGUUGAGUUGGGUCUGAAUCAUCCAGAGGCCCGGUUCAACACACAGAAAUCAACUGAAGUUGGUAACACAGGUUUUGGUUAACACAUGAAAAAUGGUGGUGGGGAUUGGCCCUGCAUCCAGUUUCAUUUCAGCUGGCAAUAUUACUGGAUGCUACCAGGGGAGAAGGAAACAUGGGGGUGGUGCUUGUGGUGGUAGCGAUGCACCUUCCGUCAUGUCAAGAUUGUGUCCUGCUCCAGGCACUACCACAGUCUCUUCUGUAUCUGGGACCAGGGAUGCUCAGCCCUUGGACAGCUCCCAAGGCAACAGGUCAGGACCAUGGUCAGUGAAGUUGCUCCAACUUGUGCCUCUUGGCAAACUGCUGGGUUUUGUACCUGCUGUUCAGGCAAAGGGACUUGGCCCUGUCCCUUCAAGUAGCAGCCUUUGAUCUCUACAGGGGCCUUGCCCUGUUUUGAAGGUGCCCACUCUGACAGCAAUGGGGAGGGGGGCUUCACCAUGGCUGGGAGU